rnacentral:sRNA from 1 species
AACUAUUAGAUGAAACAAAUGAUGAAUUAAGAACAGA